rnacentral:lncRNA from 1 species
GCUCCCUGAUAUAGACCAGACCUUGAGGAAGAGCAAUUCCCCUUCAGUGUUUUAGUUCAGAGGCACCACUGUGUACAAGAGCAGUUACAUUUUAGGAAGUUGGGACAAGAGGUUAAGACUGGCAGUGCUUUGGGCCUGGCUGGAUCAUGGUUAUUGGAGACAGGCCUGGAAAUGGAGUAUGGAGUGUGGCACGGGAAAGGAAGAACUUGGUUUCCAGGUGAGCCAUCAAGAAAGUGUUGACAAGAGCAGCAGAGUGACAACACAAAGGUAGUUUUUCAUUAGCUUUCUCUGGAUCUUGUAUCCCAGAUGGAUUAGAAAGUGGGAGAAGAGAUUAGAGACAAGGAGUCUGACUUACUGUUUCUAUCCCUGGUCCAGAUGGCAGGUGAUGUGUUUUGAUAAGGGACAUAGCAAAGGGAACAGAAAGAAUGGAUGGUGUGUGUGGUUUUGAGAGACAUGAAAAGGGAGAGAUGGGG